UGAAUUUGCGAAAUGAGUGAA
rnacentral:piRNA from 1 species